CGAUAGGUUUAACAUCAUUAGGUGGAUUAACAGCGAUAGGUUUAACAUCAUUAGGUGGAUUAACAGCGAUGGGUUUAACAUCAGUAGGUGGAUUAACAGCGAUGGGUUUAACAUCAGUAGGUGGAUUAACAGCGAUGGGUUUAACAUCAGUAGGUGGAUUAACAGCGAUGGGUUUAACAUCAGUAGGUGGAUUAACAGCAAUGGGUUUAACAUCAGUAGGUGGAUUAACAGCGAUGGGUUUAACAUCAGUAGGUGGAUUAACAGCGAUGGGUUUAACAUCAGUAGGUGGAUUAACAGCGAUGGGUUUAACAUUAGUAGGUGGAUUAACAGCGAUGGGUUUAACAUCAGUAGGUGGAUUAACAGCGAUAGGUUUAACAUCAGUAGGUGGAUUAACAGCGAUGGGUUUAACAUCAGUAGUUGGAUUAACAGCGAUGGGUUUAACAUCAGUAGAUGGAUUAACAGCGAUAGGUUUAACAUCAGUAGGUGGAUUAACAGCGAUAGGUUUAACAUCAGUAGAUGGAUUAACAGCGAUGGGUUUAACAUCCGUAAGUGGAUUAACAGCGAUGGGCUUAACAUCAGUAGGUGGAUUAACAGCGAUGGGUUUAACAUCAGUAGGUGGAUUAACAGCGAUAGGUUUAACA
rnacentral:lncRNA from 1 species